GAAAGACCCCGUGAACCUUUACUAUAGCUUGACACUGAACAUUGAGCCUUGAUGUGUAGGAUAGGUGGGAGGCUUUGAAGUGUGGACGCCAGUCUGCAUGGAGCCGACCUUGAAAUACCACCCUUUAAUGUUUGAUGUUCUAACGUGGACCCGUAAUCCGGGUUGCGGACAGUGUCUGGUGGGUAGUUUGACUGGGGCGGUCUCCUCCUAAAGAGUAACGGAGGAGCACGAAGGUUGGCUAAUCCUGGUCGGACAUCAGGAGGUUAGUGCAAUGGCAUAAGCCAGCUUGACUGCGAGCGUGACGGCGCGAGCAGGUGCGAAAGCAGGUCAUAGUGAUCCGGUGGUUCUGAAUGGAAGGGCCAUCGCUCAACGGAUAAAAGGUACUCCGGGGAUAACAGGCUGAUACCGCCCAAGAGUUCAUAUCGACGGCGGUGUUUGGCACCUCGAUGUCGGCUCAUCACAUCCUGGGGCUGAAGUAGGUCCCAAGGGUAUGGCUGUUCGCCAUUUAAAGUGGUACGCGAGCUGGGUUUAGAACGUCGUGAGACAGUUCGGUCCCUAUCUGCCGUGGGCGCUGGAGAACUGAGGGGGGCUGCUCCUAGUACGAGAGGACCGGAGUGGACGCAUCACUGGUGUUCGGGUUGUCAUGCCAAUGGCACUGCCCGGUAGCUAAAUGCGGAAGAGAUAAGUGCUGAAAGCAUCUAAGCACGAAACUUGCCCCGAGAUGAGUUCUCCCUGAGACUUAGAGUCUCCUGAAGGAACGUUGAAGACGACGACGUUGAUAGGCCGGGUGUGUAAGCGCAGCGAUGCGUUGAGCUAACCGGUACUAAUGAACCGUGAGGCUUAACCUUACA
rnacentral:rRNA from 1 species